rnacentral:misc_RNA from 1 species
GCGGAAGUGGCGCCUAGACAUUUAACUAUGAAUUGUCUGUUGGUUAGGUAGGAUUUUAAGAUGGAGUAGUAUGGGUGGGGUAGGAUUUUUUUUAAGCUUGUAAAGUAGCCCUUCAUGCCAUACUUUAUCGAAUGCCUGUUGGAUGUCUAGGAAUACGGCUGAGCAGUAUUUUUUCUUUUCAAGGGUUUGGCUGAUCAUGUGGGUUAUGCGGUGGAUUUGCUCUACUGUUGAGUGUUGUUUUCGGAAGCCGAAUUGGUAUGCCGGAUUCUAUUGGGAAUGUUGCGGAAGUGGCGCCUAGACAUUUAACUAUGAAUUGUCUGUUGGUUAGGUAGGAUUUUAAGAUGGAGUAGUAUGGGUGGGGUAGGAUUUUUUUAAGCUU